ACAGUACAAACUGAACAGGCCGGAGAAUCUCUCGGAGCCGGGUUACGCAAGUGACAGUGGACGAAGCACCCACGGGACAGU
rnacentral:ncRNA from 1 species